CACACACACACACACCACAUCACACAAGGACUUUAUUUGACACCCCCGACCGAACGCAGGCAGUGUGAAAGGAAGAGGAACAUACACCUAGAGGGGAUAACAAUAUGGUAGUUUCCAUGGGUUCAAAGGAAGACAGCUCCUACCGACUGCUCCCUCGUAAAGACCUUCUUCCUUUAUCGGUCUAACAGCAUUCAAACUAGAAGAUAGUGAAAUACAGAAUGCUCCAACCAGAGAAGAAGAAGAUACAAAUGGAAGAUACCAUUGACACCGCCAUGGGGGUGUUAUCUUAUCAGUACCUGGCGUCCAAUGACAGUUUACUUUUCAACAUCACACCAACCUACUUCACCCCCCCCUGCCACCCAUAAUAGACCAGACCAUCAGCUUCACCAUCAUAGUAGCCCUCUUCAUCACCAUGGUUUCACUGGGCUGUACCAUGGAGGUGUCCAAGAUCAAGACCCAAAUCCUGAAACCUAAAGGAGUAGCCAUCGCAGUGGUGGCCCAGUUCGGAGUAAUGCCCCUCACUGUAACGGCUUUCUUCCGUUGAAGGAGAGUCGGACCAAAAUUCAGCGUGGUUGAGAAGCGGGUGUACGAGGCAGUGAAGUCAGAGGAAGCCAGCCAGCCCAGCGAUGUGGCCAUUUGAUCAGAUAGAAUUCAGAGUGACCAAAUGAUGAAAGACAAGCAUUGUAAUUUUGAAUUCCGUAAAGUGAGUGUGGAAGAGGUGAACAAAUGAUUGUUGUCUAUCAACAAUGACAAGCCACCGGGGCUCUGACAACUUGGAUGGAA